AUUGCUUUUUGGCCUUUUGGCUAAGAUCAAGUGUAGUAUCUGUUUUUAUCUGUUUAAUAUCUUAUACGUCUCCUAUCUAGGGAUCAUAUAUUAAAUUGAUUUUUGGAAUAGGGAGGUGGAAUAGGGGCUUGCUCUGGCCACUCCACGCAUUGACUCAAUAUUGUAGUAUUUUUGGGAAUAGUGCACCUCCU